UCUUUUAAUUAUGCCUUUGUACUCUAAGAUGUUGGUAAUGAAAUGAAAUAAGACACUAACUAAAUAUUAUAAUUAGAUUAUUUUCUUCUCUUGAUUUUGGAUCCAUCACAAUAACCUCCAAUUGAAACUUUCACAUUUUCUUUCUAACACAACCACCUAUCAUGUUAUCUUGAAUAGUUAAGUUUUAAAAUGUUCAAUUUAUAUUUCUCUUAAAUGGAGAUAUUGUCGGUUUAUUUCUUUAUUAUAAGAAGAAAUUGUUAGUUCUAAGGUCUAGUCGAUCUUCAUUCCAUGACAUUGCGUUAACAUGAAUCUUCACCGGACACGGGUCCUUAUAUCCCCCAUUUACUCCUAUUGAGGUAUAGAUCCCUAGAAUGGAUUACUCCAUUAAAAUUGAACAAAAUGAGGCUAGUAUUAAAGAUCUCAAGUCCAGAGCCCAUAUAGAGAAUGAUUAACACCUAUAGGGAAUUAGGGUUAUGGAGGAAGGUGUGGUUCUUUGUCGGCCUUGUUUUCAGGGAUACCUCAGAACUCAGCUGGUGCGAUCAUUCACCGACUUCAAGAAGAUAUCCGCAAAAAUACUACAUCUGGACACAUGAAAAGGGAGAUUCCGUUGAUAGAUUUUUGAAUCUAGGAUGAUCAAUAUAUGUGAUAUGAUAUGUAUGUUCCUUAAUAUAUUUCUUUAUUUGGAUGGUGGCUAGUUGUCGAGUUAUUGUUAGAAUUUAGGUCUACAUAAAAACAUAUUUCAUAAAACAUGUUCAAUAAUUUUAAAUUAAUAGUGGAAGCAAAAAAAACAUUGAACAUUAAUAUGAUUGGAUCUAGGACAUGUUUGAUUUAUCUACGGUAUUAAUAAUUAGGGUGCAGUUUAACCUGGGAAAGGAAACUUCUUUCCCACCAUGGGAAAGUCCCUUCUCCCAGGACAGCUGUCAGUUAUAACUGGCUAUGCCAAAAACAAAAAAAAAACUCAAUUUUGUUUUUUAAAGUUGUUUGUAACAUUCCUGCUCCACCUCCCCAUUUGCUCACAACAGCACAACGUAAUCCUCACCUGCAUUUAGUACUAAAGCAUUAAAACAUCGAUUCUUCUUCUUCUCAAACAUUCCAGAACACUGCAGAGCAUAACAAAACCCAGCAAAAAAACCUUAAAAAAUAUCCAAAGUAUAUAUACUAUUCUAAGAUUGUAAAUAUUCAUUUUAAACAUCAAUUCUUCUUCUUUUGUUCUAUUACUUGAUGAUUUUGAUUGUGGUAGUUUUAAGGAUGCUAUGGCGGUGGAAUAGAGAAAUUGCAAAUCCUGUAUGGAAUACCCACCUACCCCUUUCUAAAAAAAAAUGAAAUUGAAAAAGAGAUGAUAAAAUCAAUUGAAGGAACUACAAGGUAAAUAAAUAAAUUAGGCUGAAAUAAAAUUGAAGUUGGGUGUUAAUGGAGUUGGGUAAAGAAGAAGUGGAGUGUUAGCGUUGGUGUAGUAAUAAUUUUGAGGAAGAUGGUUAUGGAACUUCGGGUCACUAACUUAACCCCUCUUAGGAUUAUUAUUUUUUUUAAUUAAUCAAUUUUAUAAAAAAAAACACGUAACUAGUGCAUUAUCAAUAAUAAUGGUAUACUACCACUGUAUAACUAUACCCAUUGAAUAUUUCAAUUUUUUACUUAGUAAUGCCCAACACUAAAUUUCUUAAAAAAAAAUGCAAAACACUAAAUAAUAAGUUUAAGACUAAUAAAUGUGGGGUGUUACUCGUUAUAUUUUUGAUGUUAUAGUGUUAACUUCACCAAAAAAGUCAUUUUCAUGACUUCAUCAUAGAAUUUUCCAAUUUAAUUUAUAAUCAUGUUAUUUCAAAUAUUUUAUAAAAUUUCAUAAACACUAUAAUUUAAUUUAAUGUAAACAAUGUUAUUUAUGUCACAUAAUUUUAUGUUACGUAUAAAAUAAUCCAGACCUAUUAAUUUUAUGUCAAACAUUAUUUUUCAUUUUAAUAUUAUUUUAAAAACCUAUUAAUUAAACUACCAAAAAAGACCUAUUAAUUUCUUCUCUAAUUAUAUUUGGUAGUGUUGUUAGCAACUACACAUGCCUAGCCGAAAAUGUUAUUUACAACUAAAAGGCCCAAAACAAAAUGGCAGGUCCAUGAAUAAUAACUAAGAAAUAAGAAACUAUUGUUUAAUGAGAAGGUGGGGACCACGCCUGCUGUUCCCCGUACCUGCCAACAAUUUCCAGCAAGUUGCAGUAACAAAUCCUAGCCAUCCAAUUAAAAAACAAUUAUAUCUAUGGUUCUGGUUUAACUUUCCCAUGAAAGGAAAGAAGUUUCCUUUCCCAUACUAAACUUCACCAAUAAUUAGGUAUUAGGAAUACCUUAAUGAAGCUUUGAUGACGGGCCUCUCAACAACAACGAUCUGAAACAGAGAGAGGAGAUGAUCUAAUCUGAAAUACAACAAAGGUUAGCGGCAAUUGAUUUGGUUCUUUCUCAACCGGUACAUUUAUACCAUAAGUUCUCUUCAGAUGGGAGAAGAGAGAGUUUGUCGUUUCCGAUAUAUUGGGGAUCAUAGCCUCUUAUAUAGUGUGAUGACCAUUAGGGUUUUUUCAUUAUUUCAUUAAUGGACCAUCUAGACAUUCACUCAAAUUGAGUCCAUAUCAAUUAUCUAAAUAAAAAUCUAAUAUCUUUAUUAAUUAAUUUAAUCACUAAUCAAUUAAGUCUCAGAAUUGAUAGAUAACUAAUAUAAUUAAGGGAAAAAAAGAUGAAGAAAAAAACUAAAACCGAAUGCUAGUAUAUUGGUAUACAUCCUCUUCCUACUUCCCAAACAAAA
rnacentral:lncRNA from 1 species